ensembl:lncRNA
UUUUUUUUUUUUCCUUGGGACGCUUGUUUUCUCGGGGGGAAAAAAAAAUUCCUGCGCCCCAGAUCGUGUGAUGAAAGCUACCUCGGCUGCCGGAGGUUUCAAUAAAAACGUAUUGAGGGCUCCCCUGGUGACUCAGUGGUAGAGAACCCGCCUGCCAAUGCCGGAGACACAGGUUCCAUCCCUAGUCUGGGAGGAUUGCGCAUGCCAUGGGACAGCUAGACCUGUGGGCCACAACUACGUAGCCAGUGCUCUAGAGCCCACGAGCCACAGCUAUUAAGCCCACGCAUUGCAAGUACUGGAGCCCAUGCACCCUAAAGCCUGUGCUCUGCAACGAGAGAAAUCACUGCAAUGAGAAGCCUGCACACCACAGCCAGAGAGUAGCCCGCAUUCACUACAACUAGAGAAAGCCCACACACAGCAACAAAGACCCAGCACAGCUAUAAAUAAAUACAUAAAUCUUUAAAAAAAAAUGUAUUGAGCACCUACUGUAUGCUAGGCAUUAGGUAAAAAAAUACACACGCACAUUAUUUAAGCCUUCUAGGAACUCAGAGGUGUGUGGUUUUGUGUGUGUGUGUGUGUGUGUGAAAUCACAGUAUAAUGAGUUAUGAACACCAAAAUAGAUUUGAACAACCUGCUGUGAGAGUAUGCAACGGGAAAAGAUAACUCUGCAAAGAUUUGGCUGAGGAAAUGUGAUUUUAAGUAUUGGAGGAUUGGUAGGAAUUGGCCUGGUCAAAACCCAACAAACAAAAAUGUAGAAGGAUAGUCCACAGGGCUGAACAGAAUCCACAGAGGCACGAAGGCAUGGGGGAAGAUGAUUGGGAAACAUGAUGCAUAGGCUGGUGUUACGAUGCUUGGUGUAUGUGUUCUAAAGUGAGUAGGAAGAGCUGUUCCAUAAAAGAGGGAGGGGCUGACCCUGGAAGAAAGGAGGAGAGCUGGACAAACAAAAGGAGCAACAUCCACCACCUUGCCCACCAUGCCUUGUCAGUUUCACAGAGCUCCUGCGAAGAUCCUGUUUUUACAGUUAAGAAAACUGUGGUUCUGAGAAGUUGUGUAACUUGCUCAAGAUGACAUGUUUCAAGUGAUGGAGAUUUUUGGAUUAAAAAAAUAGAUUUACCUGUUAACCAAAGCUAGAGUAAUUGGGAGAGUGAUGUAUAUUGAAAGGAUAGACACAAACACCAGUGGGACAGAAUACACAGUCCACAAAGAGAUCAUCCCUAUAUUGUCAACCUGUUUUUAACCAAAAAGCAAAUCCAAUUUAAUGUAGGAAGGAUGGUCUUUGCAAUAAAUGGUGUUGAAACAAGUAACAACCGUAUGGGAAAAAAAUGAGGAGAGGGAAGGAAAUCGGGAAGGAGGAAGAGGAAGUAGAGAAGGAGGAGGGAAAAAAAACCCCACAACCAAUAAUACCUUUUAUCUUGUGCAAAAAUCACCUCAAAAUGGAUCACAGAUCUAAAUGUAAAAUUUAAAACUAUAAAACUUCUAAAGAAAACAUAGGCGAAAAACCACUGUGACUUUGGAUGAGGGAAAGAAUUCUUAAAUAUGACACUGAAGGAAUGAUCCAUGAAGGGAAAAAUCCACAGUUGAACUUCAUAAAAAUUAACAACUUUUAUUGUGUCAAAGACACUGUUAAGAGAAUGAAAAGACAAACCACAGGCUAAUAGAAAUAUUUUCAAAUCACAUACCUGACAGAAGACUUACGUGUAUAAUAUAUGAGAACUUUUAAAACUUCCUAUAGGAAAACAACCCAUUUAAAACUGGGCAAAAGAUUUCGAACAGGUACUUCAUGAAUGGUGAAUAAAUGUAUGCACAUAUUCUCAACAUCAUUAGUAAUUAUGAAAUUGUAAAUUAAAACCACAGUGAAAUAAUACCACACGGCUGUUAGAAUGGCUAUAACCCAACCCAAAUCAAACUGAAACAAAUCAAAAAACUACAUGCUGGCAAGGGUAUUGAACAACUGGAACUCUCAUAUAUUCCUGUUCCUGGUAGGGGUGCCAAAUAGUACAGUCACUUUGGGAAAGAAUUUGGCAGUUUCUUAUAAAGGUGAACAUACACUUAGCAAAUAACCCAGUAAUCCUAGGUGUUCACCCAAGUGAAAUGAACACUUAAGUUCACACAAAAACACUGUACAUGAUUGUUUAUUGCAGCUUCAUUCAUAAUCACCCAAACUGGAAACCCAAAUGUCCAUCAACCAUUGAAUGGAUACACUGUGGCACAUGUAUACAAUGAAAUACUACUCAGCAAUAAAAAUGGAAAAACUAUUGAUAGAUACAAUAACAUGGGUGAAUCUCAAAUGCAUUUUGCUGUGGGCAAGGAGCCAGAUCCAAAUAUGAUCUGCAGAUCAUAUGGUUCCAUUUAGGCAACUUCCUCAGAAAGCAGAAAUAAACAGAUGGAUCAGUUGUUGCUGAGGGCUUGGUGUGACAAGAUGUUCUGGCUACACAGAGGCAACACUAGGAGAUUCCUUGAGCUAAUACAACUCUUUUGUACCUUGGUAUCGAUGGAGGCAUACUGCUCCUUCACUUCUGAGUCAAGAGAAAAGAUGCACACAUUUUUGCAGUCUAGGGAGCUAAUAGUAAAAAAUUUUAACUUCUGUUUUUUGAUUAUAUUGAAAUAGUCGUACCUACCCAUUGACUUCUCUCCAAGGGCUUUUGACCUCUUGCAGCAUAAGUUGGAAAUUUCAGAGUCAUUGACAAACCUAGAAAAUUCCAUCACAGAUAAGAUGUGGCAUGGAGAAUAAUGGUUGGUCUAUGGGUUUCCCAGGUGGUGCUAGUGGUAAAGAACCUGCCUGCAGGAGACAUAAGAGACUUGGGUUCAAUCCCUGGGUUGGGAAUACCCUCUGGAGGAGGGCAUGGCAACUAUUCCAGUAUUCAUGACUGGAGAAUCCCAUGGAUGGAGCCUGUCAGACUACAGUCCAUAGGGUCGCAGAGUUGCGACUGAAGUGACUUGGCAUGCAUGAAAAUAUGUCUAUAUUCUAAUCCUUGGAACCUAUAAACAUGUUACCAUAAAUGAUGAAAGGGUCUUCAUGUUUCAUGAUUAGUGUUGUGGAUCUUGAGAUGGGGAGAAGAGCUUGGAUUAUGCAGGUGCGCUCAAUAUGAUCAAAUGAAUCCUUAAAGGAAAAACAGAACCUUUUCAGCUGUGGUCAGAGGUUGACAUGACAGUGAAAGAGUGGUCCCUCCCUCUUUCGCAUCCUUGCUCUGUUUUUCUCCACAGUACUUCUCACCAUGUGGUAGGUAGAGUGAUGACUCCCCAAAGAUGCACGCAUCCUAACCCCCAGAUUCUGUGCUAAUGUUUCGUCACAUGGCAAAAGGGAGAUCAGGUUGCAGAUGGAAUUAAGUUUGCUAUUUUGCUGACCUUCAAGUAGGAAGAUUAUUUUGGGUGAUCCAGGUGGACCCAGUGUAAUCACAAGGGUCCCAAAAUGUGGAAGAGGAAGGCAGACGAAGUCAGAGUGAAGUGAUGAGAGGAUUCAGUUUGCUCUCGUUGGCUGUGAGGAUCGGGGAAGGGUCAUGAGCCAAGGAAUGCAGCAGUCUCUGGAAGCUGGAAAAGGCAAGGAAAAGAAUUCUCAGGACUUCCCUAGUGGUCCAGUGGCUAAGACUCCACGCUCCCAAUACAGGGGGCCCAGGUUCCAUUCCUGGUCUCAGAAUUAGAUCCCACAUGCCUCAACUAAGAGUUUGCAUGCUGCAACUAAGACCUGGUGCAGCCAAGUUAAAUAAAUAAUGAUUUAUUUUAUUUUUAAAAAUGAGAAUUUCCCCAUUCAACACCUUGAUGUCGGCCCAAGGAGAUGGGUGUCAGACUCCUAACAAGAAACUAAGUUUGUGUUGUUUCCAGCCACCAAGUUUGUGGUAAUUUGUUACAGGGGCAGUAGAAAAUGUAUUAUUCUUAAGCAUAACGAGAAAAUAUUGGGUAGGGAACUACUUGGUUUCCUGGUCCCUUGACCUUCAACUGUGGGCAGGGUAUCUGUUUGUCCACUUUCAGAAUCAUUGCCACUGGGAUCAGUUCUAGGGCUGCAAACUUAACAGGAUGUUUAUUUUUGUAGUUUAUUUAUUUGUGGCUGCGCUGGGUCUUCAUUGCUGGGAGCAGGCAUUUUCUAGUAGCAGCAAGUUGGGGCUGCUCUCUCGUCAUGGGCGUGGUUCCCAUUGUGGUGGCUUCUCUUGUUGCAGAGCGUGGCUCUAGGGUGCACGGGCUUCAGUAGUUGCAGGACAUGGGCUCAGUAGUUAUGGCUCGUGAACUUAGUUGCCCCUUGGCGUGUGGAAUCCUCUCAGACCAGGAAUUGAACCCGUGUCCCCUGCAUUGCAGGCGAAUUCUCACUAGGGAAGUCCCGUGAUGUUUAUUGAGUUUAAGAUUUACUGAGUAUUAAAUUAAACCGUGCCCAUUGCCAGUAAUAUUACUGAAAAUCGUUUCCCUCCUCCUGUUCACAGGUGGUGUGGCCUCACUUGAACCCAGUUUUAGGUCACGUGUGCUCUGCAUCAAGAGUGAUGCUCCUGAUCUGAAGUUUUCCCUUUACCAGAUACCACUGCAAACUGGUCCCUACCUAGACCCAUGCUGGCUUCACUCUGACAUAGAUUUAUCUUCCCUCCGCUCUUUGCUGGCUUGGAAUUUUGCUUUAUGCCUGUGUGACAUGGGGAAAAUGUUUUAAAAGGGUGUCCUGGCAAUACCUCCCUUCUUGUCUGCAAGGAAGAAUGAAUGCUUUGUGCACUCCGCUCACUAGAGGGCCUUUGUUGAAAUAAGCAGGGUGAUUGGCAGUGAGGAGAAUUAAAAUGCUGAGAGGAGACCGAAUUGUUUUACCCACCAGAGAAUGAGGAAGAAAAUAUUAUUAGUAUCUUAAGAGAAGAGGAAGUAGAGAUGGGUGAACUCUAAGCUGUGGAGCUUUUGAGGAAAGAAACUCAAGGAAUAUUUCAAAGGAAGGUUUUCUCUGUAACAUGUAAUGUCAUCUCUUUAGGGCUUCCCAGGCGGCUCUGUGGUAAAGAAUUCCCCUGCAAUGCAGGAGAUGUGAGUUCAAUCCCUGAGUUGGGAAGAUUCCUUGGAGAAGGAAAUGGCAACCCAUCCAGUAUUCUUGCCUGGGAAAUCCCAUGAACAGAGGAGCCUGGUGGGCUACAGUCCAUGGGAUUGCAAAGAGUUGGACAUGACUUAACGGCUAAACAACAGCAGCAACAGUCUUCUCUUUGCUUCCCUAAGGAACACUCAGUAAGCACUGGAUCUGUGGCAGACUGGUUGCAGGAAGCUGAGGCUAGACCUCUGGGCAAAGACAAGAGCAAGAUGACCCUAAAUAGCCCGAGUGGUUUCAGGUGGUCAGAGUGAGGGAAAGGGAUGGGAGGAUGCAAAGCAGUCUUUGAAUAGCAGGUCUUUCAUUCGGGUGUUUGCUCAGGACUCAAGAAUUCUUCAGAAAGGUUGCAGGAAGAAGCUACUCCUCGGGGGAGUCCAAGAAAAAGAGCAAGGAGAGGGCAUCUGUUAGCCCGCUUCCUCCCAUUUCCCUUUCCCUUGGCCAAAGUUCACCCUAGGAAGACCUAAGUCCUCUGAUCUCCCAGGUGGCAGAAUCUGGCCACUCUGUGACCAUUUGGGAAAUUAACUUCACACCAUGUGGUGUGGCCACUUCAUUCAAAUCUGGAAGUGGGGAGUGACUCUAGUUGGUUUUGUCAAAGUAGGCUUUGCAGUACACCCUCAUCGCCUUGUGGUGGGUGCAAAAAGAAAGGAGAGGACGGGUAAUGGAGGGACGCUGAGAAGGCUAAAAACAUUUGUGUCUGUAACUGAGAAAAAGUUGUAUUUAAAUCUUUCUUAAAAUUAAUUUGUUUUGGAUUGUAGUUGCUUUACAAUUUUUUUUUCCUGCUGUAUGGCAAAAUGAAUCAGCUAUAAGUAUACAUAUAGCCCCUCUUUUUAAAUUUCCUUCCCAUUUAGGUCACCACAGAGCACCGAGUAGAGCUCCCUGUGCUAUACAUAUAGCAGGUUCUAUUUAGUUCUCAGUUUUAUACAUAGCAGUGUAUGUAUGUCAGUCCCAAUCUCCCAAUUCAUCCCAUCCCCUUCAUCCCUUAGUGUCCAUAUGUUUGUUCUCAAUGACUUUGUCUCUAUUUCUACUUUGCAAAUAAGAUCAUCUAUACCAUUUUUUGUGUAUGGAUGUACGAGUUGGACUCUAAAGAAAACUGAGCACUGAAAAAUUGAUGCUUUUGAACUGUGCUGUUGAAGACUCUUGAGAAUCCCUUGGACAGCAAGGAGAUCCAACUAGUCCAUCCUAAAGGAAAUUAGUCCUGAAUAUUCAUUGGAAGGACUGAUGCUGAAGCUGAAACCCCAAUACUUUGGCCACCUGAUAGGAAAAACUGACUCAUUUGAAAAGACCCUGAUGCUGGGAGAGAUUGAAGGUGGCAGGAGAAGGGGAUGACAGAGGACGAGAUGGUUGGAUGGCAUCACCGACUCAAUGGCCAUGAAUUUGAGUAGGCUCCAGGAGUUGGUGAUGGACAGAGAAGCCUGGCAUGCUGUGGUCCGUGGGGUGUAAAGAGUUGGACACGACUGAGGGACUGAACUGAACUGAAUACCAUUUUUCUAGAUUCCACAUAUAUGCAUUAGUAUACAAUAUGUUUUUCUUUCUUUCUUCACUUUGUCUGACAGUCUCUAGGUCCACCCAUGUCUCUACAAAGGACCCAAUUUCAUUCCUUUUUAUGUCUGAGUAGUCUUCCACUGUAUAUAUGUACCACAUCUUUAUCCAUUCCUCUGCUGGUGGACAUUUAGGCUUCUCCCAUGUCCUCCUGGCUGUUGUGAAUAGUGCUGCCAUGAACAUUGGGUUGCAAAACUUGUGUUUAAAUGUUGCUACAAAUUGUGAAUUGUGUUUUUAAGUGCAAGUGUUUUCAUAAAGGCACAGAAAACUAUUGGAAAGAGUAGGAAAUCAUUUCCUUGUGCUGCCAGAGAAAUCUAAACUUUAGACUUCCAGAUUAUAACUGUAGCAUCCCCAGCCCACCAGGUAGCAGCUUCUACCGUCUUGUUUUUUUUUUUUUCCACCCAAGUCAUACAUACUUACAUUUUACUCUUUAAAAGAAAAUGUAAACACAGCGUUGUGGGUGAAGGGAGUUGCAUUAGUGUGACACUUGGCUUUUUGGGGGGCCCUUUCUUAACUCUGCCCUGAACUGAAGGAGAGCAUGGUUUAAUUGGCAGAUUUGUGGGGAGUAAAGUGAGCUUGCUCAGCUCAUUCUUGUCCCCUUCCCUCUUUGGCACCAGCCAGCAUGAGGUCUGCUCUGGGAGCAGCUGACUCUCCCAUCCCCAUCAAGACAAGUGUACUUUAAUCAGAGUUGCUAGAUCCUAUUCUAGGACUUGGUGUCAGGAAGCUCUUCUCUCAUAGUAAACCGAAUCCUGCAACCCAACUUUAUCAGGAAUUAAGUGGUCAUUUGGUUUUCUUCUUCCAUUCUGUUAUCUCAUUUUUUAAUUUGCAUUGAACUCAGAAAAGGAGGAAGGGUGCUUUCUACUGGACCCUUCUUCAAUGUUCCCACGUUUGAGGCACUGACUAGAAAACUGCUAAGUGAGAAAUAAGAACAGUCAGGGAGAAGCAAAUGAAAACACGUGGAGUGAUCAAGGCUUCUGGAGUGGCUAAAGAUGGGUGUUGGUCCUGGGGUCUCGUUCUUGAGUGUGUGCAGGACAUCAUGAUUGUUUGUUUUAAUUGAACAUUGAUUUACAGUGUUCUGUUUCAUUACCUCUGUACAGCAAAAUGAUUCAGUUAUGCGCACACACCUUGGUCACCUGAUGUGAAGAGCCGACUCACUGGAAAAGACCCUUAUGCUGGGAAAGAUUGAAGGUGGUAUGAGAAGGAGGUGACAGAGGAUGAAAUGCUUGGACGGCAUCACUGACUCAAUGGACAUAAGUUUGAGCAAACUCCAGGAGACAGUGAAGGACAGGGAAGCCUGGAGUCCUGCAGUCCAUGGGGUCCCAAAGAGUCGGACCUGACUUAGCAACCGAACAACAGCAACAAAUAUGUAUACAUAUAUAUAUGUACAUAAGAUUUUUUAUAUGGGCCAUAUUUUUAAAGUCUUUAUUGAAUUUGUUACAAUAUUGCUUCUGUUUUAUGUUUUCCUUUUUUGCUGUGAGGCAUGUGGAAUCUUCACUCCUCUACGAGGGAUAGAACCCAAACUUCCUUCAUUGGAAGGCAAAGUCUUAACCACUGGACUGCCAGGGAAGUCCCUAUACAUUCUUUCUUUAUAUUCUUUUCCAUUGUGGUUUAUCACAGGAUACUGAAUAUAGUUCCCUGUGCUAUGCAGCAGGACCUUGUUGUUUUUCCAUUCCAUUUUCUCUCUCUCUCUCUCUCUAUAUAUAUAUAUAUAAAAGCUUACAUCUGCUAACCCUAACCUUCUCCGUCCUUCCCCCAGCCCCCUCACCCUUGGCAGUCACUAGUCUGUUCUCCAAGGACAUUUUGCUCUUGGCACUUUGUGUAGGCAUGUAUUGGACCAGGUCGUUGUUUUUUUUAUGAUGGUGCAGUUGGCUUUUAAGAGCUGUGGCUGGGGAAAAAGACCUUGGAAAAGCCACUCAGAGGUUGUAAGUGGCCUUGGCAGGGGCACAGGAACCAGGAGAGGAACUUAGCAGGGGCCAGCGAGCUGAAGAGGCCUUAAUAAGCAGUUACAGCUGGGGCAAGGAUUCAAUUAUAAAGAGAAAGAAACAGUCCCUUCAUACACUCUCCUUUUAGAUAUUAAAGGAGUGGGAAAAUAUUUGCCAUUUUUUAAACUGUGGGGCAGCUGGGUUCUCUCUGGACUACAGAGCAUUAGUGAGGGAUUAGUUUUCAGUGUGCUAGUGCUAGGCCUAGGUAGGAAAGAUAAACAAACAACUCUACUUUAAAUUCUGCUUUUAUGUUGUUUUGAACCAUCUUCAAGGGCAAAAGAGGGCAGGGUGGAUGGACCUAGUUUGAAUUCCUGUGGCCCAAGAAUUAUUCCCUCUAUUUUUGUCCUCAAGGCUACUAGAAACUAGUUAUUUAGAUACAAUAGAGAAAUCCUCCCCAGGUAAUGGUUUACCUAUGCAGUCACUCCGUCGUGUCUGACUCUUUGUGACCCCAUGGACUGUAGUGUGCCAGACUCUCUGUCCAUGGGAUUCUCCAGGCAAGAAUACUGGAGUGGGUUGCCAUGCCCUCCUCCAGGGGAGCUUCCCGACCCAGGGAUCAAACCUAUGUCUCUUACACCUCCUGCAUUGGCAGUUGGCAGGCGGAUCCUCUACCACUAGCACCACCUGGGUCCUUCUGUAUGUUCUACUAAAUCUAUCUUUAGGGAAAAAAGGUACAUCACAGACUCGGCUGGUAUUAUUAUUUUAUAACUGGGAGGUCCUGUAAGAACUAUCCCCAUUCCAAAGAGAUGCAGCUUAACACAUUAUUGACUGGGGGAUUUUUUGAAGAAACGAACACCUUUGUGUUUUUGGCUGGUAUUUGUUAUGUAAGUGAAUAUUGAAACAUUAAGGUAUUAAUACGUCUCUGGUCAAUGAGUUGUUAAAUUGCUAGAUGAUCUCUGACUCCACUCAGGCAUUGAAAUCCUCUCCAGCUGAGAGCAGAACAGCAAGAUGGGGGGGAUGAAUUUUGGACUUUAAUUUCUUUGAAUUUUAACUCAUAAAAGAAAGAAAGUUAUAUAUUGAGCUUUACUUUCUUUGAACUUUAAUAUCUCAUGAUUUUGAUCUCAUUUUUUGGAUGUUAAUUUCUUCCUAGAAAUUUAGUAAAGGGAAGAGGUUUAUGUUAAAAUUUUUUUCCCCUCAACAGAAAGACUAUGAAAAACAUGGUUAUAAGAAAAACUUUGAUGUUCUUAUUUUAUUGAGGUAUAAUUAACAUAUUAGUUUCAGAUGUACAACCUAAUGAUGUGAUACUUGUAGACAUUGUGAAAUGAACACCACAAUAAGUCUAGCUAACAUCCAUUGCCACAUGUAGUUGCAAAAUUUUUUUUCUUAUGAUGAAAAAAUUUAAGAUCUAUUCUCUUAGCAACUUUCAAAUAUGCAAUACAGUGUUAACUAUGGGUUUCCCUGGCAACUCAGUGGUAAAGAAUCCGCCUGAAAAUGCAGGAGACAUGAGUUCAAUCCCUGGAUCAAGAAGAUCCCCUGGAGAAGGCAACCCACUCCAGUAUUCUUGCCGGGGAAAUCCCACAGACAGAGGAGCCUGGCAGGCUACAGUCCAUGGGGUGGCAAAGGAAUUGGGUACAACCUAUCAACUAAACAGCAACAACAAUUAUUAACUAUAGUCACUGUGUCAUAUACACACCCUUAAGACUUAGCUUUGGAAGAUUGUAUCUUUGACUGUCUUCACCCAUUUUACUCAACCCCUACCUUGGCAACCACCAGGCUCUUCUGUCUAUAAAUUCAUUAAAAACAAUUCUACAUGUGAGUGAGAUCAUAUGGUGUUUGUCUGACUUAUUUCACUUAGCGUAAUAGUCUAUUUAUCUCCCACUUUAAAAAUUCAUUCAUCUGUUGGUGGACCCUUAGGUCGCUCCCAUGUCUUGGCUCUUGUCAAUAAUAUUGCAGUAAACAUGAAGUGCAUAUAUCUUUUCAGGUUAGUGUUUUGUUUCCUUCAGAUAAAUACCUGGAUGAAAUUCCUGGAUCAUAUGCUAGCUUUAUAUUUAAUUUUUUGAGGAACUUCCAUACUGUUUCCCACAGUGGCUGUACCAGUUUACAUUCAUACCAACAGUGAAUGCAUAAGGGUUCGAAUUCUUCUAUAUCCUCAUCAAUGCUUGUUGCUUCUUGUCUGUUUGGUAAAAGCUGUUCUAACAGGUGUGAGGUGAUAUUUCAUUGUGGUUUUGAUUGCAUUUCCCUGAUGAUUAUUUCCAAGUUUCCUUUUGCAUGUUAUUAUUUGACUAGUAUAAGUUUGUUAUUUAAUCUCAUUGAUAAUCCUCUGAUAUGCUAUAUGGACUACAUUGAUAGGCAUAAUAAAAAGUAACAGAAAAAUGAAUGAAAACUUAGCCUUGGAUACUGAAUGGCAUUAAACCAUUAAUUUAAUUAAUAGGGAACUAUUUUGGAACUCUUCAUGAGCAAAAUCUCUUUCCUACCAGUGUCCCUGGGAGCAAACAGUUGGCAUAAGAGGGC